rnacentral:rRNA from 1 species
UACGGAGGGUGCGAGCGUUGUCCGGAAUCAUUGGGCGUAAAGGGUGCGUAGGUGGCCCGGUGAGUCUUUGGUGAAAGCGCGGGGCUCAACCCUGCGUCGGCCAGGGAUACUGCCGCGGCUCGAGCACUGUAGAGGCAGGCGGAAUUCCGGGUGUAGCGGUGGAAUGCGUAGAGAUCCGGAAGAACACCGGUGGCGAAGGCAGCUCGCUGGGACGUGACUGACGCUGAGACGCGAAAGCGUGGGGAGCAAACAGG